AUUGAACGCUGGCGGCAGGCCUAACACAUGCAAGUCGAGCGGUAGCACAGAGAGCUUGCUCUCGGGUGACGAGCGGCGGACGGGUGAGUAAUGUCUGGGAAACUGCCUGAUGGAGGGGGAUAACUACUGGAAACGGUAGCUAAUACCGCAUAAUGUCGCAAGACCAAAGUGGGGGACCUUCGGGCCUCAUGCCAUCAGAUGUGCCCAGAUGGGAUUAGCUAGUAGGUGGGGUAACGGCUCACCUAGGCGACGAUCCCUAGCUGGUCUGAGAGGAUGACCAGCCACACUGGAACUGAGACACGGUCCAGACUCCUACGGGAGGCAGCAGUGGGGAAUAUUGCACAAUGGGCGCAAGCCUGAUGCAGCCAUGCCGCGUGUGUGAAGAAGGCCUUCGGGUUGUAAAGCACUUUCAGCGGGGAGGAAGGCGUUAAGGUUAAUAACCUUGGCGAUUGACGUUACCCGCAGAAGAAGCACCGGCUAACUCCGUGCCAGCAGCCGCGGUAAUACGGAGGGUGCAAGCGUUAAUCGGAAUUACUGGGCGUAAAGCGCACGCAGGCGGUCUGUCAAGUCGGAUGUGAAAUCCCCGGGCUCAACCUGGGAACUGCAUUCGAAACUGGCAGGCUAGAGUCUUGUAGAGGGGGGUAGAAUUCCAGGUGUAGCGGUGAAAUGCGUAGAGAUCUGGAGGAAUACCGGUGGCGAAGGCGGCCCCCUGGACAAAGACUGACGCUCAGGUGCGAAAGCGUGGGGAGCAAACAGGAUUAGAUACCCUGGUAGUCCACGCCGUAAACGAUGUCGAUUUGGAGGUUGUGCCCUUGAGGCGUGGCUUCCGGAGCUAACGCGUUAAAUCGACCGCCUGGGGAGUACGGCCGCAAGGUUAAAACUCAAAUGAAUUGACGGGGGCCCGCACAAGCGGUGGAGCAUGUGGUUUAAUUCGAUGCAACGCGAAGAACCUUACCUGGUCUUGACAUCCACAGAACUUUCCAGAGAUGGAUUGGUGCCUUCGGGAACUGUGAGACAGGUGCUGCAUGGCUGUCGUCAGCUCGUGUUGUGAAAUGUUGGGUUAAGUCCCGCAACGAGCGCAACCCUUAUCCUUUGUUGCCAGCGGUUCGGCCGGGAACUCAAAGGAGACUGCCAGUGAUAAACUGGAGGAAGGUGGGGAUGACGUCAAGUCAUCAUGGCCCUUACGACCAGGGCUACACACGUGCUACAAUGGCAUAUACAAAGAGAAGCGACCUCGCGAGAGCAAGCGGACCUCAUAAAGUAUGUCGUAGUCCGGAUUGGAGUCUGCAACUCGACUCCAUGAAGUCGGAAUCGCUAGUAAUCGUAGAUCAGAAUGCUACGGUGAAUACGUUCCCGGGCCUUGUACACACCGCCCGUCACACCAUGGGAGUGGGUUGCAAAAGAAGUAGGUAGCUCAACCUUCGGGAGGGCGCUUACCACUUUGUGAUUCAUGACUGGGGUGA
rnacentral:rRNA from 1 species